CCUUCCUUGCUUUUCCCGCCUAUAUACCACCGUCGUCAGCUUACCCUGUGAAGGUUUUAUAGUAAGCAAAGUUGGCACAGCCUAAAACGUCAGGUCGAGGUGUAGUGCAUGAGAGGGGAAGAAAUGGGCUACAUUCGCUACUAAUAGCGAAUUACGAAUGUUGCAUUGAAACAUGCAGCUGAAGGAGGAUUUAGCAGUAAGCAGAAAGCAGAGCGUCCCGCUGAAACUGGCCCUAAAGCGCGCACACACCGCCCGUCACCCUCCCCAAGCUUCCGGCCCUAAUUAACUAAAACCCUACAACUGCAAAGGAGAGGAAAGUCGUAACAUGGUAAGUGUACCGGAAGGUGCGCUUGGAAAAAU
rnacentral:rRNA from 1 species